rnacentral:rRNA from 1 species
AAGUUGCAGGGUAUAGACCCGAAACCCGGUGAUCUAGCCAUGGGCAGGUUGAAGGUUGGGUAACACUAACUGGAGGACCGAACCGACUAAUGUUGAAAAAUUAGCGGAUGACCUGUGGCUGGGGGUGAAAGGCCAAUCAAACCGGGAGAUAGCUGGUUCUCCCCGAAAGCUAUUUAGGUAGCGCCUCGUGAAUUCAUCUCCGGGGGUAGAGCACUGUUUCGGCUAGGGGGCCAUCCCGGCUUACCAACCCGAUGCAAACUGCGAAUACCGGAGAAUGUUAUCACGGGAGACACACGGCGGGUGCUAACGUCCGUCGUGAAGAGGGAAACAACCCAGACCGCCAGCUAAGGUCCCAAAGUCAUGGUUAAGUGGGAAACGAUGUGGGAAGGCCCAGACAGCCAGGAUGUUGGCUUAGAAGCAGCCAUCAUUUAAAGAAAGCGUAAUAGCUCACUGGUCGAGUCGGCCUGCGCGGAAGAUGUAACGGGGCUAAACCAUGCACCGAAGCUGCGGCAGCGACACUCAGGUGUUGUUGGGUAGGGGAGCGUUCUGUAAGCCUGUGAAGGUGGCCUGUGAGGGUUGCUGGAGGUAUCAGAAGUGCGAAUGCUGACAUAAGUAACGAUAAAGCGGGUGAAAAGCCCGCUCGCCGGAAGACCAAGGGUUCCUGUCCAACGUUAAUCGGGGCAGGGUGAGUCGACCCCUAAGGCGAGGCCGAAAGGCGUAGUCGAUGGGAAACGGGUUAAUAUUCCCGUACUUGGUGUUACUGCGAAGGGGGGACGGAGAAGGCUAUGUUGGCCGGGCGACGGUUGUCCCGGUUUAAGCGUGUAGGUGUGUGUUCCAGGUAAAUCCGGUUCACUUUAACACUGAGGCGUGAUGACGAGGCACUACGGUGCUGAAGCAACAAAUGCCCUGCUUCCAGGAAAAGCCUCUAAGCAUCAGGUAACAUCAAAUCGUACCCCAAACCGACACAGGUGGUCAGGUAGAGAAUACCAAGGCGCUUGAGAGAACUCGGGUGAAGGAACUAGGCAAAAUGGUGCCGUAACU